GACAGAGGAUGCAAGCGUUAUCCGGAUUCAUUGGGUUUAAAGGGAGCGUAGGUGGCCUUGUAAGUCAGUGGUGAAAUCCUGUCGCUUAACGAUAGAAUUGCCAUUGAUACUGCAGGGCUUGAGUACAGUUGCCGUUGGCGGAAUAUGACAUGUAGUGGUGAAAUACUUAGAUAUGUCAUAGAACACCGAUUGCGAAGGCAGCUGACGAAACUGUAACUGACACUGAGGCUCGAAAGUGUGGGGAUCAAACAGG
rnacentral:rRNA from 1 species